CUCUUAUUAAUGAACCGGAUCAGAACAUUAAUUCUUACCAUCUAAACUAUCCUACUGGUGACGGAAAUGCUAAUGUGGAUAACGGAUUGCGUGCCAUUAGUCCCGCCACGGUUACCAUAGUUAUGGAUAUUUUGUCCAAGCGGGAAAGCGAUUCGAGCUUACGCCAGCUCGUACUGCAAUGUUUCACCAUGAUGGCAAUCAUAUUGCAAAAAUCUAGUCCUGAACAGCGCCAAAUCGAUUUACUUACUAUUUUUCAACUGUAUCUGGGAGCCGUUCACACCUUACUGGAAACGGAACAUUUCCUGCAGAAAGGAUCGCCGAGGUUAUAUUUCGAGGUGAAAGUUUCGAGGUGUCGCCAAAUGAUGAUAAUAACAUUGACGUCGGGGCUCUGACUACUAUUAUCGGAGUGAUAGAGCACUUCCUACAGGGGCACGUCAACAAGCAUGUACUGUGCAAUGCCAUGUUCGAAGCAAAAUUUAUACCCAGUCUAGUGCUGAUCCCGGAACGAGUUAAGAUCUGGCAUAUCGAUCAUCAAACAUUGGGCUCAACACUGGUCAGGAAUUUCCAUAAGCUUUGCAGCAGUUCUGAAAAAAUCCACUACAAUCUAAUGCAUACCAACAACGUGAACGUUUUGUUCGAUGGAUUGAAACUUUUCGGGCGACCGUCUCACGAUUUGGUAUGCGAUUGUUUGUACUUUGCCUUCGAGGGAGGCGAUUACCAUAGUUUGAACGCUCGAAUCGUUAUCAAGCUGGUGGAGUGGAUACCUGUGAUGGCUGAGGCGGAACAAAACUACAUCAGUGACGUACUGCUGAAGAAGUGUUCGGCCAGCAUUCAAAGCAAACAUUCAAUAUCGGAGCAACGGAUGAUUAAGUGUAUCGUGGAUUACUGCUUGGAAGAUCAACAUAAAUUGUCAGCGAAAUGCGCUAUAAAUUUGCUUAAACUAAUAGAAGAACUCGCCAAGCAUAGUAUCCACCCGAUUGAGCUGAAAUGUCUUCUCCGGUUGCUCAGGAACGAGGCUAACUUUGAGUAUAGAAAACAGUUACUGGAAGUCAUUAUGAAGGUUUCUCAACAGGCUGUCACUUGGAAUUACCCCGAUAGAGUAUCUGGAUAUCCAAGGUAACACAAAUGGCAUUACAAUUCCCGAAAUACGUAAAUGGGAUACCGCCCAUGGGUUCGUGUUUCAUGCUUG